rnacentral:rRNA from 1 species
CAGUAGUCACGAGUUUGAUCAUGGCUCAGAACGAACGCUGGCGGCAGGCUUAACACAUGCAAGUCGAGCGCCCGCAAGGGAGCGGCAGACGGGUGAGUAACGCGUGGGAACAUACCCUUGGUUCGGAAUAACUCAGGGAAACUUGAGCUAAUACCGGAUACGUCCGUAAGGAGAAAGAUUUAUCGCCAAAGGAUUGGGCCCGCGUCCGAUUAGCUAGUUGGUGAGGUAACGGCUCACCAAGGCUACGAUCGGUAGCUGGUCUGAGAGGAUGAUCAGCCACAUUGGGACUGAGACACGGCCCAAACUCCUACGGGAGGCAGCAGUGGGGAAUAUUGGACAAUGGGCGCAAGCCUGAUCCAGCCAUGCCGCGUGAGUGAUGAAGGCCUUAGGGUUGUAAAGCUCUUUUGUCCGGGAAGAUAAUGACUGUACCGGAAGAAUAAGCCCCGGCUAACUUCGUG